ensembl:lincRNA
AAUGUUAAGACACAGCGGCGUACAGUAAAGGAAAUCCAGCAGUGUAUGAGAGGUAAAAACAGUUGGCUUUGCGAGACGACCCAGUUUGGCCACGCAGCUCUUUGUUGCUGAAGUGCUAAUCUCGUCUUAGCGGAACGGAGAGAGGCCCUCAGCUGUGAGGAGUCUGAUCAUCAACCCGCCCGCCAAGGACAGGCCCGCCUCGCACAUCCAGCCGCAGGUCUUCAAGCUGCUGAGUCCAGGUCAGGGUUGCGGGGAGCUGAAGCCCAUCCAGGCAAGCCGGGGACUCGCUCCGGACAGGACGCCACUCCCCGCGGGCUUCGACCUCAUCUUCCUCUUCAGACCUAUCUCUCCACUCAGAGCUUGCAAUCAGCAAAUGCUGCCAAGACGCUGAACCCGCAGGAAUACGGCUCAGCUAGAUCAGACUACCCCAGGGCACAAAGGUGAAGCCAGCACAUGCGAGCGGGCUCACCCUUCUCGGCGCGCAGGAGAGAGCGGGGCCUGCCACAGCUCUCCCUUAGGGUCCGCAGCCGGGACCAGCAGCCCAGCAGAAAUGGAACUCGGCAGCCGUCUCCCCAUGGCUUACCCUGCAGACUGCGGUUAAUGUCUGUUAAGCAGGUGGGGCGCAUGGAGAGAAGGUUGAGUAUGAAGGAGAGCGGAGGUCCUCUGUGUGACUGGGAGGGGUGUGGGAAUGACGACCCUGCACAGGAUAGCUGCCGAAGCUCCUUGGCCCUUGAACCUCCUGAGAGCACAGAUUCCAGCCCUGGUUUGGCAUUUCUGGUCCAGAGAGAUGGGUGCCGCCUACUGGUCCAGCAACGUCGCAGCUGGACAAAGGCACAUCUCCAGUAUCAAUACCUGCCUCAAAGUGGAAAUCGGGAAACCCUUUCAACCAGAAUUAGAGAUUUUAAGCAUCUUGAAAACACUGAAAUGCUGGCAGGAGUUAAAUAA